CCUANGGGUGGCAGCAGUGGGGAAUCUUGCACAAUGGGCGAAAGCCUGAUGCAGCAACGCCGCGUGCGGGAAGAAGGCCCUAGGGUUGUAAACCGCUUUCAGUAGGGAAGAAAAUGACGGUACCUACAGAAGAAGGUGCGGCCAACUACGUGCCAGCAGCCGCGGUGACACGUAGGCACCAAGCGUUAUCCGGAUUUAUUGGGCGUAAAGAGCUCGUAGGCGGUUCGGUAAGUCGGGUGUGAAAACUCUGGGCUCAACCCAGAGAGGCCACCCGAUACUGCUGUGACUAGAGUGCGGUAGGGGAGCGGGGAAUUCCUGGUGUAGCGGUGAAAUGCGCAGAUAUCAGGAGGAACACCAGCGGCGAAGGCGCCGCUCUGGGCCGUAACUGACGCUGAGGAGCGAAAGCAUGGGUAGCAAACAGGAUUAGAUACCCUGNUANUC
rnacentral:rRNA from 1 species